UUUAACCUUGAAUUUCUAAUUUUACUGAUGUAGAACACGUGUACGAAAAUGGAAACACAGUUGUUUAAGGAGGCAGGGGACAAGGGGGCACAAUGGAAUAAAGCUUCUGUUACAAUAGCCAGAGAUUCUGUUCCAAAUGACUACAGAAUCGUCCUUGAUGCCGACGUCGGAGCAACAUAUCAUGGAGAUACGGCAGUGGACGAUUUAAUCAUACAUGAUGGACCAUGCCAAGGAAGCCACGGAGCACCUAUAGUCGGUUAGAGACGACCAGAGCGAAUAUUAUACUUCAUUUUAUUAACCAGGAAGUGUCAAUAGUAUAGUUGUUACAAACGUUUUGAAGUCUUUAGUUCUUUGAUAUUUGUAUGUUUUGCAAUUUAAUAAAAUGCACCUAGAAACACAUACAGUAUAAGGUGUUACUUUUCGGCGAGUUAUAUGAAAUAUGUUUUUUUUUUUGUUGAAUGUAGUAGUGAGAAGAAAUAAGACUUAACUCUAAAAUAUAUACAUAAGUGUAACAUAUUGCAGUGUGUAUCUUUUCUUGCUGGAAUUAACUGACCAAAAAUAUUUCAGAGAACCAUUUAUGCUUUUUGUAAAUAAAGAGUUUGCAAAAUGUGUUUUUUUUUUUGUUUUGUUUUGUUUAAUAGAGCGAUCUAUAAUAAAUGUUGGGGUCACCAAUCAACAUAGCUCAAAAGGGAGAGCGCAGACUAAUAGAUCCCUUGACAAGGCAUAUAUUUUCCGUGACGUGACUGAUUUAUAUAAAGAAGUUGGUAGUUAAUAGCAAAGAAUAUAUUAGUACUGAUGGCAUACAUUCUACGGCAUUUGAUUGUCUUUACCUACAUCUCAUCUGAAUUAAGGGCUAAAAUCAAUUAUUAUAGAAGAAUGAUUCGGCAUUCGUCACCUUUCUCCGUCAUUCAUCGACUGACAUCGAUAUUUCAAACAACUAAUCCUCAUAAACCACUUGAUGCUUAUAAAAGCAUCUUUUGAUAGGUAUGAACCCUGUUGGGUUUUUUUCGGCACAUCCGUAUUAAGUUCGUUUUCAUGACCUACAAUGCCCAAUAAAACUUGAUUAAGUUGGCAAAUCAGGCUGUUGGUUAAUGCAAAGUAGUUUAUAUUUAAACGGAUGAAAAGAUAGAGAGUUUUACUCUGUGUCUUGAAUAAUGUUGUGCGAUAUGCUACAGCAUUCAGCAAUGCUUACAAUUUCAAAUGUGUGUGCCAGUCAGUAUGUUUAACAAUUAUAUCGGGGUGUUUAAAAUAUGUAUUAAGUAUGUCUAAUAAAUGCAAUAAUACUUUUCUUAAUUCUACAGAAAGAGCUGAAUACAAUCGUAUAACUUGUACAUACUGCAUAUUAUAUUAACAUAAAUACUAUAACACUGGACAAAUUAUGGCGGUCUCUUUAUAUAUGUAAAGAAAGAACCUCAGCUUUUCAAAGAUAGAAUCAUAACACAAUAAAUCAAAUCAAAUAAUUAAAACUCUUUACUAAUGUGAAUGUUAUGAAAGUUUUGUUUAUUAUACCAGUAACUAAACUUUUGAGAUUUUUUUACAUAUCUGUGUUCGGAAGAGGGACAACUUUUCUCAGCUCAGGGAAUCGAGAAAUGCAUUGCGCAUUUCGCCAUCAU
rnacentral:lncRNA from 1 species